CUGCGGUGCGAGGCUGGGCUGGGCCGGAGGGAGCAGCCGCUCGCGGAGGCUCGACACCGACACCGGAGCUGCCUGAAGUUAGCUUCCUCUCAGGGGGCCGACAGGCCUCCCGUUUCCUGUCUGUCUGCUCUCCAGCUCCCCUCCCCCUUCUCAUUUCCUGUCUGAGUCUACACUGCUAUUUUCGGGAUCUUGACACUUUGAGGAGAGGUUAAAGGGCAGUUCGGCAAGGCGGAGAGACCAAUCCACGCCAGAGCGGAGGAGCUGGUGAGGCCCUGCAGCCCCGCGUCUAGCUGCCCGCUCCGCUCGGGGCUCGGUUCCCGCCGGGCUGGCCCUGGGCCUGAUCGGGCUGUGCCAGAAGCGGGAUCCCCCUCCCCCCCCCCCUGGCCCUGGGCUCCGACCACCCCGGAGCACCCACACCCCAGCCUGACAGCCGGACAAACUUCCAGCCUAGAGAUCUGGGAAGGAGCCUGGUCCUCCCACGUAACUACCCAGAGAAGCCACAGUUCGGGCGACAGGAGCUCCUAACAUGCCAGACACUGAGCUGUUUCCUGGGAACCAAGCACCAGGUCCAGACCUCUGACUGGGGUGCCAACUGCCGGGAGGCCCCGCGCCUGGGCACCGUGCCGCUCUGCCCCCAGCUCCUGGCCGCUGGCCAGAGGGGCGGGCACCAGGUGGAAGGAAGGGGUGAGCGGAGGGCAGUGCGCACGGCUCCGCGGCCCUCUCCUGAGAAGAACCGGCUCCGUCCCCACGCAGCAAGACUAAGAAAGAGGAGGGCCUGAGAGAGAAGGGAGGGGAGUAGAAGGCCCGUGGCGGUGGCGGUGGCGGUGGCGGUGGCGUGCAGGACGGGAGCUGCCAACUGCUUCACUGCCCCCCUGCAGGCCAGCUGACGAGGCCCUGCCACUCCUUCUGUGAGGAUUCCCCAAAUCCAGCUGGAGGCUCGGGUUCCCGUCUGCUAGCAUGUCAGCUUUCACUCUGCUUCCCAGACGAGGUGUGGAAGCCAAAUCUGGCCACCAAGCACAGCUGCGGAGGCCGGGAACCAUCCCUUUCCUGUUCCCUCCCGCGCCAUCCGCCGCCCCCCCUCGGUGACUGCUGCAGCAGCUGGCUGCAACCAGGAAGCCCGGGACCCUGGGGAUGGCACCUGCCCAGCCACCCCCGCCCCACCCCGGGCUCGACGCCUCUCUCGUGCAAGCUCUCCGUAUCUGUGCCAGGAUAGCAGCCCUGCCUGCAGUUCUCCAUCGGGCUUUCCUCACUGCUUUGUGUCCGCUCCCUCUGUCUGUCCGUCUGUCUCACUUCCACUACAUACUCUGACUGGUUACAGGUUCAUAAAACUGAGACCACAGCCGUCUUUCACUGUACCUCACGCAUUCGCCUUCAGCCCGUUCAGCAGGUUCUGGCUCCCCACUCAGACCCACGCAGUCCCUGGGGACCCUGUCCACAGGUUGGCAGUAACCAAGGUCUGUAGAUACGGAAGACGUUCAAUUCCUGGCCCCCGCUGCCUUACUUCUACUUGCUUGGUACUCUGGGAAGCCGCCUCUGCUCGUGAACUAAGACGGUCUUGUAAUCAAGAAAAUCAUCUUUUGGGCACCAAACAGUCCGGGAACCAGGUCUCAGCUCCCCGAUGUAAUAUGCUCCCCCAUCCCCAGCAUUCUCCGGGCCUCCCUUGGCCCAGCCCCAGGCCACAGCAGACUCUAGUCUCAGCUGCUAUGGGAAUGUCUUCUCCUUAAAGCCACAGGCUGAAGACCCCAGGAGAGGCCCCACGCUUGCCAGCAGCAUCCAGUCAGCAGCUGGCAGAGCUGAAAGGGAGAAAAGCCAGAAAAAGAACAGUCUGAAGCUCUGAGGAACCAAAAGCCAUUUAGGGGGCAACGGUGCCUGACAGGGAGAUAAACAAGCAACCCAUCCUCCGAGGACACCGGAUCCUGAUGGCCGAUUCUGACUCACCCAAUGUGGUUGGUACGAAGUGAGAUCUCCAGCUCCCUCAGUACUUUGGUUGACUCCUGCACUCUCCUCCUGAACUUCUGUAAACACGGAAUUUCCUGUCACUAUCGGAGACCCCCCGAUCCAACUUAAUAGUACAAACGAAAAGGGCAGAAAAGGGCAGGGACGCAAGAGGGCAGUUAUAAGCCUUUCCCUCUGUUGGUAGCCAGCCACUCCAGGCCCAUGGCCUCAGAACCCAGACACCCAACUCCCAUUGCUCAGAAGCAGAUGUCCCCCCACAAGUCAAAGGGUCUGCCCCUCCCCAAAUCCCGCAGGACUAUAAGGGGCAGCAAGGUGGGGCUUCCCUGCCUCACACUUCACCUUCCGAGUUACGCUGGGGUCCAAGAAGCUCUGGAGUUUCUGGAUGUAAGUGUGGGGAGGAUUCUUCACCUGGAACCGUUCCUGUGAGGGAAACACGUGUGUGUGCACAGACCCCCAGAGUUCUGAGGAGAGGGUUGAGGGAGUCGAACACUCGUGGUGUUCGGUGUGAGGGGAUUCAGACUCCCCAAGUUGUCGGCUGGCCCGUAAUACCAUCCAAAGCACAGGUCCUCUUCCUUGCCUGAUUUUCAGGUGCUCCCCAUCUACCACCAUCUUCCCCUUCUCUCAUUAGUGAUCUCUGAGCCUAAAAUAUUUUCCUAUGUUGAAAAUUAUUUUAAGAGCCUGCGACUUGCUAAGACGGGAUGGAAGAGCUGGGAACAGUGCUCAAAAUAAAGAUACAACUGAGAAAUGGUG